AGUAUUUCCCACAUCUGAAGAGCUGGAGUACCACUCAGCUACAGACAUUACUACACUUUAAACACAAAAACCUCUCAGCCAGCCGAGGAGCUUCUGAUCCAGACUGAAGAGAAACAGGAUGAUGUCUUCCUCCUGGUGUUUUGGCUUUGCUGUCCUCCUCUUUGCCAUGUUUAUUCUGACACAUGCUAUAGAGGUCAACAGUAAAUCUGUUAAAAAUACUGCAAGUGACCAACAUGACAAUCCUGUCAUCCGUUCCAAGUCAGAGAAACUGGGGCUUCAGAGGAAGCUGGAUGGACUGAAUGCAGUGCGACGGAGUGGUAGGCCUCAGAAUGUUCGUAUUGUGAUUCAGAGCCAGUAUGAAAGGCCUGAGGUGGAGGGUCUUACCCCAGUGCGUUUAGAGGUGGGUCCUGGAGACAAGAGGAGGAGGACGCAUCUGAGGAAGAAGAGUCCUCAGUCUGGAUACAGAGAGCUUGAAAGGCAUAAAACUAAGGCUGUAAACGGCAGAGAACCUGAGCUAGCAGUGAAGGAGCAGGAGGUUUCCACAGUGCAGAUGACGCCCCUGAAGGAAGGAGAUGAUUCAGAUAAAAACAUGGUAUUUACUAUUGGCAUGGCACUGUUAGACAAUGAUGUUGAUAAGGCUGUGAUACAUAAGGCAGAUACACAGCAGCAGCCGUCUAAAAACACAGGAAGACUGCAGACAAGGAGCUCCAGCAGUGGGAAGAAAAUGACACCUUCUAAAUCUUCUGUGAUCAUCAUUUGGACUGUGUCCCAGGUUCCUGCUGCAACCUCAGAAAACACCUUUGUGAACCUCACAGCCGGGGCCUCAACAAUAAAUGCUAUGAUGACUGUAUGUGUGAAGAAGGGCUCCGGUGUUUUGCUAAAUUUCAUCACAAUCAUCGAGUCAUUCACAAAAAGGGACGCUGUGUUGAUCCUGAGUUUUUAAACAAUGUACAUGCACCGUCAUACACUGCUGUCUGACAGAAACACAUGUUCUCACUUUAAUGUAUAAAAUGUUUGGCAUUGUGUUUUUCUAGUGUUUGGCCGUGUAUUUUACUUGGUUUGGCAUACCCUACAUAAUUACCAAGAGCAAGCCUACUGACCAGCAUGACCAACCUGGUUGCCCAGUUAAAUUACUACUUAUUAAUAGUUAUUGCCGUUCUAUUUUUAAUAUUAUAAAAGAAUUAUAAAAUAAUUUAUUCCAGCAAUUAAUACUCUGUUGGGUGUGAAAGACUCAAAUCAAUCAAAUAAAUGCAUAGGCACUAAUAAUAUGGACCA
rnacentral:lncRNA from 1 species